CCUACGGGGGACAGCAGUGAGGAAUAUUGGUCAAUGGGCGCAAGCCUGAACCAGCCAAGUCGCGUGAGGGAUGACGGUCCUAUGGAUUGUAAACCUCUUUUGUCGGGGAGCAAGGCCCGCCACGUGUGGCGGGAAGGAGAGUACCCGAAGAAAAAGCAUCGGAUAACUCCGUGCCAGCAGCCGCGGUAAUACGGAGGAUGCGAGCGUUAUCCGGAUUUAUUGGGUUUAAAGGGUGCGUAGGCGGAAGGUUAAGUCAGCGGUAAAAUGUCGGUGCUCAACACCGGCCUGCCGUUGAAACUGGUCUUCUUGAGUGAGCGAGAAGUAUGCGGAAUUCGUGGUGUAGCGGUGAAAUGCAUAGAUAUCACGCAGAACUCCGAUUGCGAAGGCAGCAUACCGGCGCUCAACUGACGCUGAGGCACGAAAGCGUGGGGAUCGAACAGGAUUAGGUACCCGAGUAGUC
rnacentral:rRNA from 1 species